rnacentral:ncRNA from 1 species
GUACGAAACCCGUAAGGCGAAAUGAAGGUGAACGCCGGCGCGGUCCGGCGGAGGUUGGAUCCCGUCCCGUCGGGGCGGGCGCACUACCGGCCGAUCUUCUCCGCCCUGUCGGCGAGGUCGAGCGAGAGCGUGCAAGUCGGGACCCGAAAGAUGGUGAACUAUGCCUGAGGAGGUUGAAGCCAGAGGAAACUCUGGUGGAGGACCGUAGCGAUUCUGACGUGCAAAUCGAUCGUCAAAUUUGGGUAUAGGGGCGAAAGACUAAUCGAACCGUCUAGUAGCUGGUUCCCUUCGAAGUUUCCCUCAGGAUAGCUGGCGCUCUGUCGCAGUUUUAUCUGGUAAAGCGAAUGAUUAGAGGUCUUGGGGGCGAAACGCCCUCAACCUAUUCUCAAACUUUAAAUUGGUAAGAAGCCCGACUCGCUCGUUUGGAGCCGGGCAUGGAAUGCGAGUGCCAAGUGGGCCACUCUUGGUAAGCAGGACUGGCGAUGCGGGAUGAACCGAACGCCGGGUUAAGGCGCCCGACGCGACGCUCAUCAGAGCCCACAAAAGGUGUUGGUUGAUAUAGACAGCAGGACGGUGGCCAUGGAAGUCGGAAACCGCUAAGGAGUGUGUAACAACUCACCUGCCGAAUCAAUCAGCCCUGAAAAUGGAUGGCGCGUGGAGCGUCGGGCCUAUACCCGG